UCAGCCCGACUCCAUUAGCGCGUCCCCCCUUCCUGCCCGGCCCAGAGGCAGCGCCGAGCCCUAGCAGCGGCCGGGGACAUGUCCAACCAGGGGGCCCGGAGGAACGGGCCCGUCAAGCUGCGACUGACAGUACUAUGUGCAAAAAACUUGGUGAAAAAGGAUUUUUUCCGACUUCCUGAUCCAUUUGCUAAGGUGGUGGUCGACGGAUCUGGCCAAUGCCAUUCUACAGAUACUGUGAAGAAUACGCUUGAUCCAAAGUGGAAUCAGCAUUAUGACCUAUAUAUUGGGAAGUCAGAUUCAAUAACGAUCAGUGUAUGGAACCACAAGAAAAUCCAUAAAAAACAAGGAGCUGGUUUUCUGGGUUGUGUGAGACUUCUUUCAAAUGCAAUCAACCGCCUUAAAGACACUGGUUAUCAGAGGUUGGAUCUAUGCAAACUUGGGCCAAAUGACAAUGAUACAGUUAGAGGACAGAUAGUAGUAAGUCUUCAAUCCAGAGACCGAAUAGGCACAGGAGGACAAGUUGUGGAUUGCAGUCGUUUAUUUGACAAUGAUCUACCAGAUGGUUGGGAGGAGCGGAGAACUGCCUCUGGAAGGAUCCAGUAUUUAAAUCACAUUACACGGACAACUCAGUGGGAGCGACCAACACGACCAGCAUCUGAAUAUUCUAGCCCAGGCAGACCUCUGAGCUGCUUUGUGGAUGAGAACACACCAAUUACAGGAACAAAUGGUGCGACAUGUGGACAGUCAUCAGAUCCCAGAUUGGCAGAGAGAAGAGUCAGGUCUCAAAGGCAUAGGAAUUACAUGAGCAGAACACAUUUACAUACUCCUCCUGACCUGCCUGAGGGAUAUGAGCAAAGGACAACUCAGCAAGGUCAGGUCUAUUUCCUGCAUACUCAGACAGGUGUAAGCACAUGGCAUGACCCAAGAGUACCAAGGGAUCUUAGCAACAUCAAUUGUGAAGAGCUUGGUCCACUGCCUCCUGGAUGGGAGAUCCGUAAUACAGCAACAGGCAGAGUUUAUUUUGUCGACCAUAACAACAGAACGACACAGUUUACAGAUCCGCGGCUAUCUGCUAAUUUGCACUUAGUUUUAAAGGGCGUGGCCACUGUGAUGUCAUGGGGGGGCAGGUGCCGUCCCAUGGAAGAGAUCUGCCACCCCAGCCGUCAGAACCAACUUAAAGAUCAUCAGCAGCAACAGCAGGUAGUAUCAUUGUGCCAGCUUCCAGAUGAGGCAGAAUGUCUGACUGUGCCAAGGUAUAAGCGAGACCUAGUGCAGAAACUCAAGAUUCUGAGGCAAGAAUUGUCGCAGCACCAACCCCAAGCUGGCCACUGUCGUAUUGAAGUCUCCAGGGAAGAGAUUUUUGAGGAGUCUUACAGGCAAGUCAUGAAGAUGAGGCCAAAGGACCUGUGGAAGCGAUUAAUGAUAAAAUUUCGUGGAGAAGAAGGCCUUGAUUAUGGAGGGGUUGCCAGGGAAUGGCUUUAUCUGUUGUCUCAUGAAAUGUUGAAUCCAUAUUAUGGCCUCUUCCAGUAUUCACGAGAUGAUAUCUAUACGCUGCAAAUCAACCCAGACUCUGCAGUUAACCCGGAACACUUAUCAUAUUUCCAUUUUGUUGGACGGAUUAUGGGGAUGGCUGUGUUUCAUGGACAUUAUAUUGAUGGGGGCUUCACUUUGCCUUUCUAUAAGCAAUUGCUAGGAAAGCCAAUCACUCUCGAUGACAUGGAAUUGGUUGACCCAGAUCUUCAUAACAGUUUAGUCUGGAUACUAGAGAAUGAUAUUACAGGUGUCUUGGACCAUACGUUCUGUGUGGAACACAAUGCAUAUGGGGAAAUUAUUCAACAUGAACUGAAACCCAAUGGCAAAAGCAUCCCUGUCACAGAGGAAAAUAAAAAAGAAUAUGUCAGGCUUUAUGUAAACUGGCGGUUUUUACGAGGAAUUGAAGCUCAGUUUCUAGCACUGCAGAAGGGAUUUAAUGAAGUAAUCCCACAACAUCUGCUGAAGACAUUUGAUGAGAAGGAGCUAGAGCUCAUCAUUUGUGGACUUGGAAAGAUUGAUGUUAAUGACUGGAAGGCAAAUACUAGGUUAAAACACUGUACUCCAGACAGCAACAUUGUGAAAUGGUUCUGGAAAGCUGUGGAGCUCUUUGAUGAAGAGAGGAGAGCACGAUUGCUCCAGUUUGUGACCGGCUCAUCCAGAGUGCCUCUUCAGGGUUUUAAAGCAUUACAAGCUGUCUACAGUUCACUCCCUGGCCAGGAAAGCCAACAAGCAACUUCUUUGCGACUAUAACAGGUGUGAUGGAGACUCUUGUGAUGUUGACUUCUUCAUGGAAGGAGCCACAUGGUGGUGAGCAGGCCAGGAACAGAAAGAAUCUACCUCACUAUCCAGCUGCCUUUGGAACUCUGAUAGAAUCUCUACCUUUCAGCAGCAACAUUUCUAACUUUGUCAUCCAUGCUGCCGAAAGAAUCUGAGGCAGUCCGUUUAGGCCUGUUUGCGCUCUCAAGAUGGAGGAAAGCGUCUAAGAGAACACACUCCCCAAACAGAAAUAUUUUCUUUAUCGGUAGAAAGGCUGGAUUCCAACUGAGCAAAAACCUUGUGAUAUCAAUUGCCACUUCCAAAAGCCAGGGGUUCUGGAAAUAAACUAUCCCCACCCAGCCUUCUCACUCACACAGGGCCUGUGUAGUCUUUUGGGUUCCUAAGAUGGCAUAGAUCCCCUGCAGUACUAAGCUUUCAUUAAUGGGCGUUAGCACCUGUUAGCAGAAUUCAGUACUCCACUGAGUGCUAACACAUAUAGGAGGAGCUCUAUGCUAUGUUGCAUAUUUAAAUAGCAACAUGAAAAACUUAAGCAGAGGUGGCAGCCCCACGCUAAUUUAGGUGCUUUCUUUCCUAUGAUUAACACACUGUAUUACCCACUAGAUACUUGCCUUGUUUAAUGUUCUGCUAGUGACCCCUAUUACUGCCAUUGCUAGCUUAACCUGUGUGUUAAAUCCUUAACAUGAGCUAGAAUUUUGCAGCAUAUACUGUAUCCUAGUGUCUGGGAAGGGCCAUACAACCACCAGUGCCCAGUGUCGCCUUGACUACCACAGAAGUUGUACCACUUUAGCUAUAUUGGUAUAGUUAAAGUUGUACAACCCCUAUGGUCAAAUCUGCAGUAGAAGCAGUCUGUCAGUAUAGCUAUACCAGUGUACUAUACUGAUAAAAAUGCUGCUAACAUGGAUGCAGCUAGUACUGGCAAAGCUGUAGCUUUUAGUUGUAUAACUUAUUCCAUCAUCACCCUGAGUGUAGUAAGCUGUACCGGUAAAAGUGAAGUUCUUCAAGUUAUUGUCCCUAUGAGUGCAUUCGCCAUAGGAUGUGCAGGUGCUGGUGCACUCUUGAUUGUAGAUUUUAGUUAACCGUGUGCAUGGAUCCAUGUGUGUGCUCUAUACAUCUUUGUCCUCUGGUGCAAGGGUAUAUAGGGAGGGGUGGAUCCUCCAAGGCUCCAGUUCCUUCUCAACUGCCCUUGGCUUGAAACAAAGCAUAGCAGAGUUUUCUGUUAGCCUCUCCAUUAUUACCUUCUUAAGCUGAGGGAGGAUAGAUUGAAGUUCCUCCUGAUGGAGUGCUCCGCUGUCUGAGACCUGCAGGAUAUGACUCCCCUCCCUGGCACAACGGCCUUAGUCUGCACCAUCGUGGGACCUUAAUCUACUUCUCAAUGCCUUAAGGAGCCCAGCUGUUCACACCUCUGUCUGUCUUCAAGACUUUGUUCUUAGUAGCCAUAACUUUGGCCAGAAGGGUAGGGAAGUUAAGGGCACUCAUGGCUGACCCUUCCUACUUACAUUUUGCCAUGACAAGGUAACAUUUCACUCCCAUCCUCAUUUCCUGCCUAAGGUCUCUUAAGAAUUCCAUGUCACUUAGGACAUCUGACUACCAGUGUUUUACCCCAAGCCUCAUUCCUUGAGGGAGGAAGCUAGCCUCCAUACCUUGGAUGUAAGAAGGACCAUUGCCUUUUACCUAGAGGCAGAACAACACAUUUCAGGGUUUUCCCUCCAGGCUCUUGAACUCCUUUGCCAAGAGAAUGGACAGCCAAUUUCUGCUCAGACUAUGUAAAUGGGUUUCUGAUGCAUUCUAGCUUGUUACAAAGCUGCAGGAGUGCAUCCUCCUCCUAAGCAGACUGCUCAUUCCAACAGGCCCAGUCCACCUUUAUAGCCCUUCUUAAAGACGUACCCAUCAUGUAGGACUGCAGAGUAGCAACCUAGUCUUAUGUGCACAUGUUCUCUGGGCACUAUGCUAUUCAACCUGCUUCCAGGUCAGAGAGAACCUAGAGCCAGCACUGUCUUCAGAGCUGUGCUGAGAUCCGCCUCCAUGUCAAGACACUGCUUAGGAGUCUCCUACAGUGGAGCAGCCAUAGGGACAAUAACUCAAAGAAGGAGAGGUUACUUACCUGUACAGUAACUGGAAGUUGAGAUGUGUUGUCCCUAUGGGUGCUCCACCUCCUGCCUUUCUUCUCCUAUGCAGUGGAAUCUUCCUGUGCUUCCAGUCUGAGAAGGAACUGAAGCAGUGGUGGGUCCACCCUCCCUAUAUACUCUUACACCAGAUCACAAGGAUGUAUAGAGUGUAGGCACAGAUCCACAGGCAUUGCUAACUAAAAUUACUGAUCAAGAGUGCACAGGUGCAUGCACAUCCUAUGAUGGAGUAUCCAUGGGACACAACAUCUCUAAGAACUCCAGUUACUGUAAGGUGCUGCGGGGCCCAGGCUAUUUACAAUACACCAGAUUGAUGCCAGCACUAAUAACUUGCCGAAAGCUCAUACCUGCUUUAAUCGAAUAGACAUUCCUCCCUAUGAAAGCUAUGAGAA